UUUUAUUUAUAUGUGUUCAGAGGGAGCAUUACAUUAUUGUUAAUAAAGAAGAAAAUAGCAAGCAAACCAUCAGACCAAAGUUCUCCAAAUCAUGAUACGUACAUAUAUAAUAAUCCAUUUUGGCUCGCUCAUUCUAUAAUAUCCAGAAAUGCAUCUUCAACCAACUGUUCCAAAGAAAUUCCAUAAAUCACCACCUAACCAAAAUACUGAAACUCCCAAUGCUACAUUUUUCUCCAGAGCUCCUACAACUACUAGUAACAAAAAACAACAAUUCAAUUCCCAUAACCCAGAAAAUAUAUAUGUUGCAAUUACACACGUCUCUUAGCUAGCUAGUAGCAGUGCUCCAAAAAAGAAGAAAAGUAAAACCUUCAUCUUUGCCCUCAUAGUAGAGCCACAACCAUGCAUCAUCCAAACAAGAUCCAGAAAUCAAGCGUCCUAGUAAACAGCUCUAUUAGGAUCUCCCCCACACUGGUAGUUUUUUUUGUCUCCGAACCAACCAACCAUGAACGCAUAUAUAGCAACUAUUAAUUGCAUUGCAUGUUGCAGCCAGUCUUCGUUGUGCACUUGUGCUGCAUGCACCAUCUUGCCAUGAACCACAGCCUCUACCCUCCCAAUUGCCAGCUUAGUUUGCAUUGCCAUCGAAACACAAAACCUAAAGUAGGAUGUGUGGGUUGGUGACGCGUUGCAAUGGACUGGUUAUUGGGCUUUUAUGGCACUUUUCUUUGGCAUAAAUUUAGCAUAGUCGAUUACUUUUU
rnacentral:lncRNA from 1 species